UAUUAUUUCGGCAUACUACGCCGGAUUUUCUGAUUUUCCGAAGAAAAGUGUAUUAAGUAUUAAACUUGUGUACUGUGCGAUAUAAAUUUCUUAUAAUUUUUCGAAGAAAAGCGUAUUAUUUGUCUUUGAUACGCUUUUCCUUCAAUUGUCAAGAACAGAAGACAAAUACCGUCAAUAACGAAGACUUGGAAAUUACUUUUUAUAGUGAUAACUGCGGAGCUCAGAAUAAAAACAAAUAGAAAAGCAUUUCUCAUAAAUUCCUUAUUGCCGGACACACGCAAAAUGAAGGAGACAGCACAUAUUCAACAAUUGAAAAAGAGGUAUUUUUUUUCCUAUAUAACUGUUCUCGAAAACUUCCGAAACUUAAAGAAAGAAAAGAAUUAACACACAAAGACUUUAUAGAUGUCAAACAAUUAACAACAGAUAUUGGUAAUAAUUUCGAUAAAAAUGUUGAAAAUGAAUAGGUUUACUUAUCCCAGAUUAAAAUUGUAAAAGUAGAAAAGGAACAGCCUUUCAUGUUUUUUUAUAAACAGUCAUAUUCGGAUAGCCAAUCGAAGUGUGUUAAUGUUAAACAACAAAAAAUAAAGAGAAAAUCUAGAUCUGCGGCAUCUUCUUUGCCAGCAGAACUUAAACUUA